CUGAUUUCCUUCGUGUUUCCAUUUUCUUCAUAUAGCACAAAAAAGUACUUGUGGUUAUGCUUGAGAAUGAGCACCAUACCGUUCACCGCCGCCACACCGGGUCGUUCAACGACACAACCCGAAGUAGUUCGACGUCGCAGCUCGGGAGGCACACACUUCACCCCUCCAUCCCAGGAGAGCAGUACAUCUUGUGCGCGAGCAGUCUGUUGUUGAUGUACACUGCUGCUCUAAGCUCCUUGGCCACUACUCCAGUAUGUCUAGCAUCGUCCCCAGUCCAGCCCCAUGGCAUUUGGACGGUCGAGUUCAUGCCGAGCAGCAGUCCACGCCCAUCAGCUCCUAUUUCCACUAUAGUGGUUGGGUUGCCGUUUUCCUCAUCCUUCUCGGUGCGCGACAACCCAGCCCACAUGUUGCUGUCGUCCGCCACCCCAAAUAGCUUUGGCUCUUCCUCAAGCAACCAUUUGGAGAACCUUUUGGUGUUUUUCUACUGGUGAUUGAUUUUAGCAAUUUGUAGCUAUCUUGCGUAUGAAAUCUGAAAGUUCAAGAUUGCUGCAGAUUCAAUUCUUGCAGUACAAAUGUCCCAGAGUUUAGUGACAUCUGUAAUUGAGGUACUAUGGUCUUGCAUCUCCAAUGUAUGUUGCUGAGCAUCCUCCCAAUCCGCUCGAUCAACUUCUUAUUCCACCUCCAAAAAAAAUUCUUUUUGAGUUCUAUCCUUCGUCACAGGUUCACCGCUAUUACCUCAGUGCAAACGUGCCAAAGAGUUUAGUUCAGACUAUACUAAAUGUCCAUAUUAUAGAUAAUAUUUGCAUUGUCUUAAAUUUCUGGAAACAAGCUUCAGUACAAGAAAAAUGGGCCAGUUAGUUCAUCCAUAUCCAAACCCCCGUCGACGUGCGGCGGCAGGAAACAUUUUCAGGUAUUUCCUUAAAUACUUCGGUCUUGUGCAGCUGGUACUAGUGUGAAUGGGUAGCAAGUUCAACUACCAAUCCACACCAAGUUCAGACCUCUUAUUGGAAUUGGGCCUGCCCCAUGAUCCGGCGUCGCCCUCCGCUGCCUCAGCACGCAGGCCGUUCACCUUCACCACCCCAGGCCGUUCACCACCACCACCAGCGCCCGUUCAAUGCUGCCCCAACAACCCAGUGCGGCUUUGUCUCUCUCAACUUAAAAAGCGGUUCAGCUCAGUGCAUGUCAAACAUUAAAGCAAUAUUCUGUAGUAGCUUCAAAAAAUGCAAAUGGUCAUGUUUCCACAAGACUGACGAAACACUGCCAAUUAAACUGAGCACUAGCGGAACUGUGAAGCACUGACGAAACACUACCAAUUGAAUUGAACGUUGACCACGUCUCCACCCUCCCCACGCCGCCACCGCUGCGACCACCCCUCCCCCUCACGAUUUCUCGUUGAUAUCGCUGUAUUCAUGUUUGUUACGUGAGUUGCCUGAUGGAAGUUCUGCAACUGUCAGUCCAGAUGGAAGAAGGAGAUCCGUCCAAAGUGUGAGUUUUGCGACGUCGACGUGCAAGUUCUACAAUUUAUCUGUCCAGAUGGGAGAAGGAGAUCAAUCCAACCGAUGCAUCUGAAGCGACAUAUGCAGAGCCAUUCUCCUGAGAGCCAAAUCCUGGCGCGCCCAGCCGCUGCUCGUGAACCCCGCCUCCAUCAGCUCCACUUCACUGGAGUCGUCAGUCCACAGGAAUAGGGGUAGUGGAUCCCCUAUAGCGGCCAAAUCCCGGUGCGCCCAGCCGCUGCUUGUGAACCUCGCCUCCAUCAGCUCCACUUCACCAGAGCCGCCAGUCCGCAGGAGUAGGGGUAGCAGGUUCACCCAACGUCCGACGCCUUCUUCCAUCUCCAAAAAUCUUGUUUUUUGAGUUCAGUUCUUUGUCACAUGUUUCACUAGCUAAAAAAUGCAUGGUGUUCUGAAAUUGCUUGCGGACCACUAGCUGAAAUUGCUUGACGAACAAAAGCAAAGGGCCCAAACCCACUGUCGUGCAAGAAAAAGAAAGCAAAGCCCCAACCAUCAGCUCCUCAAUCAUCAGAACUAAUAGUAAGAUGGAGAAGAGAUAAUGCAACAAAAAUCUUAGAUGGGGCAGUCAAGUCCAUUGCGCAUUCUGAUUUUUUGUAGCUCCGGACAUCAGUUGUAUUGAGACAUGGAUGGCUCUACACCUGAAGCACAUAUAUCUGACAAGCAUGAUCACAUGUUCCCUUCGGAGUCUGAUGGUCGAUGGAGAGGCGAAGCGAAAGACGGUUAGGAAGCACGAGAGAAGUGGCAAAGACAGUAGGUCCAUGUGUAUUUAACAGCAAGUCCAUGUAUUACUACAUGAGAAGUACUGCUAGUGAGACUUCACUGCCCCAUUUCAACAAACUUGUAUACGCAAUCCUAGUUUGACAAAGUACUCUACUGCUGCUGGUUUCAGUUCCCUCACUGGAUUUGCAGGCUCCCGACCAUCCUCCAACACCCCGUCAGUGCCACUGAUUUGAAGGACCUCUGUGAGCGUGUACUUCUCCUGCACGAGAGAGGUUUGGACGGACGCUGAUCACUAGCUCUUAUGACGCCGCCGAUCACUAGAACGAAGGACACCAGCAGGUUGAGAAUGAAGUACAUGAGGCAGACAAUGAGGACGACCAAAACAUGGAAUCCGUACACAUAGCACCAACUGCAAAUUCGAACUUUCUGUCUAUGAUGAUUUGAUUGCUACUUCUUAAAGAAAGUGUACAUAAUAGUUAGAUGUUUGUGCUAGAAAGGAAAACUUGUUUGAAUUAAAAUCAUUGACCAGUACGAAUCAAAAACAUUGAUAAGUUCGAUA